UACAUCGAGAACAUCAACAGUGUCGGCUACAGUAUUUAUUACUGUUAUACAGAAUAGCAAUGCUCCUGUUAUUACCACAAGUCCAUGUCAGGCAGAAAUACGACAAGACUUGAAUGUUGGUGAUCCUGUUCUAACUGUUUCUGCUUUUGAUUUAGAUCAACAAAAUUCAGCUGGUAUUCGCUAUAAUCUUGUUAAUGGUGGAACUGGCUUUAAUUUCUUUCAAAUUCCUGAUGCAACCUCUGGUCGUGUUACAUUAAGCAGAAGUAUUCAGUUUGAACAAGCUACAGUGUAUACGAUACUGGUACAAGCGUCCGAUUCAGGAAGCCCACCUUUAACUGACGUCGGUCUUUGUACUAUAACUGUUAAUCGUAAUUUUAACGCACCUGUAUUUAAUCCUCAAGUGUAUAAUGUUACUAUCAGUGAGAAUCAGAUUUUAGGUGAUUCCAUUGCACGAGUUACAGCCACAGAUAUCGACCGCGUGUCACCCAAUAAUGUUGUUAGAUAUACAGCUGUAGGGAAUGAUAGAGCUCUUCAGUAUUUUGCUGUUAAUUCUGUAACUGGUCAGG